UAGAAAUUAACUUAAUGGUAAAGUAGUCGUUUUACACACGAUAGUUAGGAGUUCAAAUCUCUUAUUUCUAA
rnacentral:tRNA from 1 species